rnacentral:rRNA from 1 species
GUAGGGUGCAAGCGUUAAUCGGAAUUACUGGGCGUAAAGCGUGCGCAGGCGGUUUUGUAAGACAGAGGUGAAAUCCCCGGGCUCAACCUGGGAACUGCCUUUGUGACUGCAAGGCUAGAGUACGGCAGAGGGGGAUGGAAUUCCGCGUGUAGCAGUGAAAUGCGUAGAUAUGCGGAGGAACACCGAUGACGAAGGCAAUCCCCUGGGCCUGUACUGACGCUCAUGCACGAAAGCGUGGGGGGAGCAAACAGGAUUAGAUACCCUGGUAGUCCACGCCCUAAACGAUGUCAACUGGUUGUUGGGUCUUAACUGACUCAGUAACGAAGCUAACGCGUGAAGUUGACCGCCUGGGAGUACGGCCGCAAGGUUG